rnacentral:siRNA from 1 species
CCGCACUCAAAACCGCACCGCAAC